rnacentral:rRNA from 1 species
GAUCCACGGACGCAGCAGUGGGGGAUAUUGCACAAUGGGGGGAACCCUGAUGCAGCGACGCCGCGUGAACGAAGAAAUAUUUCGGUAUGUAAAGUUCUAUCAGCAGGGAAGAAAAUGACAGUACCUGACCAAGAAGCCCCGGCUAACUACGUGCCAGCAGCCGCGGUAAUACGUAGGGGGCGAGCGUUAUCCGGAUUCACUGGGCGUAAAGGGAGCGCAGGCGGCACGGCAAGUCCGGUGUGAAAGCCCGGGGCCCAACCCCGGGACUGCACUGGAAACUGCCGGGCUGGAGUGUCGGAGGGGCG